rnacentral:rRNA from 1 species
GAUGAACGCUGGCGGCGUGCCUAAUACAUGCAAGUCGAGCGAACGGACGCGAAGCUUGCUUCUCUGAUGUUAGGGGCGGGCGGGUGAGUAACGCGUGGAUCCCCUACCUGUAAGAGUGGGAUAACUUCGGGACAGCGGAGAUAAUACCAGAUAAUAUCUUGAACCGCGUGGGUCAAAGGUGAGUGACGGUGUUGCUGUCACUUAUAGAUGGAUCCGCGCUGCAUUAGCUAGUUGGUAAGUUAAAAGGCUACGAAGGGAACUAUGCAUAGCCGACGUGAGAGGCUGAUCGGCCACUCUGGAUCUGAGACACGGUCCAUAGUCCUACGGUAGGCAGCAGUAGGGUAUCUUCCGCAAUGGGCGAAAGCCUUACGGAGUAACGCCGCGUGAGUUAUGAAGGCCUUCCGAGCGUAAAACUCGGUUACUAGUUAAAAACAUAUGUGUACGUAACUGUGCACAUCGUGACGGUACCUAAUCAGAAAGCCACGGCUAACUACGUG